rnacentral:rRNA from 1 species
CUAGCGACUUCAGAGUUUGAUCCUGGCUCAGGAUGAACGCUGGCGGCGUGCUUAACACAUGCAAGUCGAACGAACGGAGGAGUGCUUGCACUCCAAAGUUAGUGGCGGACGGGUGAGUAACGCGUGGGUAACCUGCCUCAUGCAGGGGGAUAACAUCUGGAAACGGAUGCUAAUACCGCAUAAACUAUGGAUGACCGCAUGGUCAUUAUAGCAAAGAUUUAUCGGCAUGAGAUGGACCCGCGUUGGAUUAGCUAGUUGGUGAGAUAACAGCCCACCAAGGCGACGAUCCAUAGCCGGCCUGAGAGGGUGAACGGCCACAUUGGGACUGAGACACGGCCCAA